rnacentral:rRNA from 1 species
GAUGAACGCUGGCGGCGUGCCUAAUACAUGCAAGUCGAGCGAACGGACGAGAAGCUUGCUUCUCUGAUGUUAGCGGCGGACGGGUGAGUAACACGUGGAUAACCUACCUAUAAGACUGGGAUAACUUCGGGAAACCGGAGCUAAUACCGGAUAAUAUUUUGAACCGCAUGGUUCAAAAGUGAAAGACGGUCUUGCUGUCACUUAUAGAUGGAUCCGCGCUGCAUUAGCUAGUUGGUAAGGUAACGGCUUACCAAGGCAACGAUGCAUAGCCGACCUGAGAGGGUGAUCGGCCACACUGGAACUGAGACACGGUCCAGACUCCUACGGGAGGCAGCAGUAGGGAAUCUUCCGCAAUGGGCGAAAGCCUGACGGAGCAACGCCGCGUGAGUGAUGAAGGUCUUCGGAUCGUAAAACUCUGUUAUUAGGGAAGAACAUAUGUGUAAGUAACUGUGCACAUCUUGACGGUACCUAAUCAGAAAGCCACGGCUAACUACGUGCCAGCAGCCGCGGUAAUACGUAGGUGGCAAGCGUUAUCCGGAAUUAUUGGGCGUAAAGCGCGCGUAGGCGGUUUUUUAAGUCUGAUGUGAAAGCCCACGGCUCAACCGUGGAGGGUCAUUGGAAACUGGAAAACUUGAGUGCAGAAGAGGAAAGUGGAAUUCCAUGUGUAGCGGUGAAAUGCGCAGAGAUAUGGAGGAACACCAGUGGCGAAGGCGACUUUCUGGUCUCUAACUGACGCUGAUGUGCGAAAGCGUGGGGAUCAAACAGGAUUAGAUACCCUGGUAGUCCACGCCGUAAACGAUGAGUGCUAAGUGUUAGGGGGUUUCCGCCCCUUAGUGCUGCAGCUAACGCAUUAAGCACUCCGCCUGGGGAGUACGACCGCAAGGUUGAAACUCAAAGGAAUUGACGGGGACCCGCACAAGCGGUGGAGCAUGUGGUUUAAUUCGAAGCAACGCGAAGAACCUUACCAAAUCUUGACAUCCUUUGACAACUCUAGAGAUAGAGCUUUCCCCUUCGGGGGACAAAGUGACAGGUGGUGCAUGGUUGUCGUCAGCUCGUGUCGUGAGAUGUUGGGUUAAGUCCCGCAACGAGCGCAACCCUUAAGCUUAGUUGCCAUCAUUAAGUUGGGCACUCUAAGUUGACUGCCGGUGACAAACCGGAGGAAGGUGGGGAUGACGUCAAAUCAUCAUGCCCCUUAUGAUUUGGGCUACACACGUGCUACAAUGGACAAUACAAAGGGCAGCGAAACCGCGAGGUCAAGCAAAUCCCAUAAAGUUGUUCUCAGUUCGGAUUGUAGUCUGCAACUCGACUACAUGAAGCUGGAAUCGCUAGUAAUCGUAGAUCAGCAUGCUACGGUGAAUACGUUCCCGGGUCU